UACAGAGGGGGCAAGCGUUAUUCGGAAUUAUUGGGCGUAAAGGGCGCGUAGGCGGCCUGGCAAGUGACGGGUGAAAGCCCUCGGCUUAACCGAGGAACUGCCUGUCAGACUGUUAGGCUUGAGACCGGGAGAGGUGAGUGGAAUUCCCAGUGUAGCGGUGAAAUGCGUAGAUAUUGGGAGGAACACCAGUGGCGAAGGCGGCUCACUGGACCGGUACUGACGCUGAGGCGCGAAAGCGUGGGGAGCAAACA
rnacentral:rRNA from 1 species